rnacentral:tRNA from 1 species
CAAGGGAUAGUUUAAAAAAAAUAUUAAUUUUGGGGAUUAGUGUUAGAAAAUUUCUUCCCUUGA